UACACAUGCAAGUCGAACGGAAAGGCCCUGCUUUUGUGGGGUGCUCGAGUGGCGAACGGGUGAGUAACACGUGAGUAACCUGCCCUUGACUUUGGGAUAACUUCAGGAAACUGGGGCUAAUACCGGAUAGGAGCUCCUGCUGCAUGGUGGGGGUUGGAAAGUUUCGGCGGUUGGGAUGGACUCGCGGCUUAUCAGCUUGUUGGUGGGGUAGUGGCUUACCAAGGCUUUGACGGGUAGCCGGCCUGAGAGGGUGACCGGCCACAUUGGGACUGAGAUACGGCCCAGACUCCUACGGGAGGCAGCAGUGGGGAAUAUUGCACAAUGGGCGGAAGCCUGAUGCAGCAACGCCGCGUGCGGGAUGACGGCCUUCGGGUUGUAAACCGCUUUCGCCUGUGACGAAGCGUGAGUGACGGUAAUGGGUAAAGAAGCACCGGCUAACUACGUGCCAGCAGCCGCGGUGAUACGUAGGGUGCGAGCGUUGUCUGGAUUUAUUGGGCGUAAAGGGCUCGUAGGUGGUUGAUCGCGUCGGAAGUGUAAUCUUGGGGCUUAACCCUGAGCGUGCUUUCGAUACGGGUUGACUUGAGGAAGGUAGGGGAGAAUGGAAUUCCUGGUGGAGCGGUGGAAUGCGCAGAUAUCAGGAGGAACACCAGUGGCGAAGGCGGUUCUCUGGGCCUUUCCUGACGCUGAGGAGCGAAAGCGUGGGGAGCGAACAGGCUUAGAUACCCUGGUAGUCCACGCUGUAAACGGUGGGUACUAGGUGUGGGGUCCAUUCCACGGGUUCCGUGCCGUAGCUAACGCUUUAAGUACCCCGCCUGGGGAGUACGGCCGCAAGGCUAAAACUCAAAGGAAUUGGCGGGGCCCCGCACAAGCGGCGGAGCAUGCGGAUUAAUUCGAUGCAACGCGUAGAACCUUACCUGGGUUUGACAUGGAUCGGGAGUGCUCAGAGAUGGGUGUGCCUCUUUUGGGGUCGGUUCACAGGUGGUGCAUGGCUGUCGUCAGCUCGUGUCGUGAGAUGUUGGGUUAAGUCCCGCAACGAGCGCAACCCUUGUUCACUGUUGCCAGCACGUUAUGGUGGGGACUCAGUGGAGACCGCCGGGGUCAACUCGGAGGAAGGUGGGGAUGACGUCAAGUCAUCAUGCCCCUUAUGUCCAGGGCUUCACGCAUGCUACAAUGGCUGGUACAGAGAGUGGCGAGCCUGUGAGGGUGAGCGAAUCUCGGAAAGCCGGUCUCAGUUCGGAUUGGGGUCUGCAACUCGACCUCAUGAAGUCGGAGUCGCUAGUAAUCGCAGAUCAGCAACGCUGCGGUGAAUACGUUCCCGGGGCUUGUACACACCGCCCGUCAAGUCAUGAAAGUUGGUAACACCCGAAGCCGGUGGCCUAACCGUUGUGGGGGAGCCGUCGAAGGUGGGACUGGUGAUU
rnacentral:rRNA from 1 species